CGAGCGUCGUCCGCGCCGCGACCGCGACAACUUCGGUAAUCAGUAAUCGCUGAUUAACGCCAAAACGCCGCCCCUCGGGGCGGCGUUUUUGU
rnacentral:misc_RNA from 1 species